rnacentral:rRNA from 1 species
GACGAACGCUGGCGGCGUGCUUAACACAUGCAAGUCGAACGGAAAGGCCCUGCUUUUGUGGGGUGCUCGAGUGGCGAACGGGUGAGUAACACGUGAGUAACCUGCCCUUGACUUUGGGAUAACUUCAGGAAACUGGGGCUAAUACCGGAUAGGAGCUCCUGCUGCAUGGUGGGGGUUGGAAAGUUUCGGCGGUUGGGGAUGGACUCGCGGCUUAUCAGCUUGUUGGUGGGGUAGUGGCUUACCAAGGCUUUGACGGGUAGCCGGCCUGAGAGGGUGACCGGCCACAUGGGGACGGAGAUGCGGCCCAGGCUCCUACGGGAGGGAGGAGGGGGGAAUAUUGCACAAUGGGCGGAAGCCUGAUGCAGAAACGCCGGGGGGGGGAUGACGGCCUUCGGGUUGAAAACCUCUUUCGCCUGUGACGAAGGGUGAGGGGCGGUAAUGGGGAAAGAAACACCGGCUAACUACGU